GCCAGAUCACGUUAUAAUACCGGUUCCCGUACGAUCCCCGAAGUUAAUCAAUGUUGAGCCUGGUCAGUACGUAGAUGGGUGAUCGCUUGAGAAUACCAGGCGCUGUG